CGCCGCUCCUCGCUCCGCCGCCUCCUCUCCUCGCCGGCCGUCUCCGCGGCCUGCCUCCUCUUCGGCCUCGCCGGGUUCCUCGCCGCCGCGGUCUCCCUCUCCCGGGCGCCCGCCGAGGCCCCGCGGGGCCGCUGCCCGGACUCCUCGCACCCGCUCUCCGUCUCCGUCGCCUGGGACUGGCGCCCCGGGGAUGCCGCGGGUGGCGCCACCGACCUCCCGGCGGGCCUCGCCACCGGAUCGCGCGGCAGGCACAAGGUCAUGGCCUUCGUCGGGAUCUUCACCGGGUUCGGCUCCGUUGGCCGCCGCCGCGUGCUCAGGCGGACGUGGCUCCCCUCCGAUCGGCAGGGUCUCCUUCGGUUGGAGGAAGCUACUGGUCUGGCAUUCAGAUUUGUGAUCGGCAAAAGCAAUGACAAGUCUAAGAUGGCAGCUCUUGAAAGAGAGGUUGAAGAAUAUGAUGAUUUUGUGCUUUUAGAUCUUGAGGAGGAGUAUAGCAGGCUUCCAUACAAAACGUUAGCAUUCUUUAAGGCUGCCUAUGCGUUGUUCGAUUCUGAUUUCUAUGUUAAAGCUGAUGAUGACAUUUACUUGAGACCAGAUAGACUCUCCUUGCUCUUGGCCAAGGAACGUACACAUACACAAACAUACAUUGGAUGCAUGAAGAAGGGGCCUGUUUUUACUGAUCCCAAAUUGAAUUGGUAUGAGCCACAGUCCUUCCUACUUGGAUCAGAAUACUUCCUUCAUGCAUAUGGGCCUAUUUAUGCUUUAUCAGCUGAUGUGGUGGCAAGCUUAGUUGCUCUGAGAAACAACAGGUAA
rnacentral:rRNA from 1 species